NUUGGCGCAGUUGGCUAGCGCGCAGGUCUCAUAAUCCUGAGGUCGGGAGUUCGAGCCUCCCAGG
rnacentral:tRNA from 1 species